rnacentral:tRNA from 3 species
GCGGGCGUGGCGGAAUCGGUAGACGCAACGGACUUAAAAUCCGUCGGGAGCAAUCCCAUGCCGGUUCGAGUCCGGCCGCCCGCACCA